rnacentral:rRNA from 1 species
CCCCUAGAUGUUCUGGGCCGCACGCGCGCUACACUGACGAAUGCAACGAGCUUAUAACCUUGGCCGAAAGGUCUGGGUAAUCUCCAAAUUUCGUCGUGAUGGGGAUAGAUUAUUGCAAUUAUUAAUCUUCAGCGAGGAAUGCCUAGUAAGCGCAAGUCAUCAGCUUGCGUUGAUUACGUCCCUGCCCUUUGUACACACCGCCCGUCGCUCCUACCGAUUGAAUGGUCCGGUGAAGCGUUCGGACCGUGGCCUUUGGACGGUUCGCCGUCUGUUGGCUGCGGGAAGUUCGUUAAACCUUAUCAUUUAGAGGAAGGAGAAGUCGUAACA